rnacentral:rRNA from 1 species
CCUUUCCGGUACGGGCGACCCUGCACAGGUGCUGCAUGGCUGUCGUCAGCUCGUGUCGUGAGAUGUUGGGUUAAGUCCCGCAACGAGCGCAACCCUUAUCCCUAGUUGCCAUCAGGUAAAGCUGGGAACUCUGGGGAGACUGCCGGUGAUAAACCGGAGGAAGGCGGGGAUGACGUCAAGUCCUCAUGGCCCUUACAUCCCGGGCUACACACGUGCUACAAUGGCCAGCACAGUAGGUUGCUAAGCCGCGAGGUGGAGCCAAUCCAUAAAGCUGGUCUCAGUUCAGAUUGCAGGCUGCAACCCGCCUGCAUGAAGAUGGAGUUGCUAGUAACCGCAGGUCAGCUAUACUGCGGUGAAUACGUUCCCGGGGCUU